rnacentral:rRNA from 1 species
CAUGCAAGUCGAACGAAGGCUUCGGCCUUAGUGGCGCACGGGUGCGUAACGCGUGGGAAUCUGCCCCUUGGUUCGGAAUAACAGUUGGAAACGACUGCUAAUACCGGAUGAUGACGUAAGUCCAAAGAUUUAUCGCCGAGGGAUGAGCCCGCGUAGGAUUAGGUAGUUGGUGUGGUAAAGGCGCACCAAGCCGACGAUCCUUAGCUGAUCUGAGAGGAUGACCCCCCACACUGGUACUGAGACACGGACCAGACUCCUACGGGAGGCAGCAGUAAGGAAUAUUGGUCAAUGGAGGCAACUCUGAACCAGCCAUGCCGCGUGCAGGAAGACAGCCCUCUGGGUCGUAAACUGCUUUUAUUCGGGAAUAAACCUUUCUACGUGUAGAGAGCUGAAUGUACCGAAGGAAUAAGGAUCGGCUAACUCCGUGCCAGCAGCCGCGGUAAUACGGAGGAUCCAAGCGUUAUCCGGAUUUAUUGGGUUUAAAGGGUGCGUAGGCGGCUUAUUAAGUCAGGGGUGAAAGACGGUGGCUCAACCAUCGCAGUGCCUUUGAUACUGAUGAGCUUGAAUGAACUAGAGGUAGGCGGAAUGUGACAAGUAGCGGUGAAAUGCAUAGAUAUGUCACAGAACACCGAUUGCGAAGGCAGCUUACUAUGGUUUUAUUGACGCUGAGGCACGAAAGCGUGGGGAUCAAACAGGAUUAGAUACCCUGGUAGUCCACGCCCUAAACGAUGAAUACUCGCUGUUAGCGAUACACAGUUAGCGGCUAAGCGAAAGCGUUAAGUAUUCCACCUGGGGAGUACGCCCGCAAGGGUGAAACUCAAAGGAAUUGACGGGGGCCCGCACAAGCGGAGGAGCAUGUGGUUUAAUUCGAUGAUACGCGAGGAACCUUACCCGGGCUUGAAAGUUAGUGAAUGAUUUAGAGAUAGAUCAGUGAGCAAUCACACGAAACUAGGUGCUGCAUGGCUGUCGUCAGCUCGUGCCGUGAGGUGUUGGGUUAAGUCCCGCAACGAGCGCAACCCCUAUGUUUAGUUGCCAGCACGUUAAGGUGGGGACUCUAAACAGACUGCCUGUGCAAACAGAGAGGAAGGAGGGGACGACGUCAAGUCAUCACGGCCCUUACGUCCGGGGCUACACACGUGCUACAAUGGAUGGUACAGAGGGCAGCAAGCUGGCAACAGCAAGCAAAUCUCAAAAAGCCAUUCACAGUUCGGAUAGAGGUCUGCAACUCGACCUCUUGAAGUUGGAUUCGCUAGUAAUCGCGUAUCAGCAAUGACGCGGUGAAUACGUUCCCGGGCCUUGUACACACCGCCCGUCAAGCCAUGGGAGUCGGGGAGACCUGAAGCGGUAGGUAAAGACACCGUAGGUAAUCG